rnacentral:rRNA from 1 species
AGAGUUUGUUCCUGGCUCAGGACGAACGCUGGCGGCGCGCCUAACACAUGCAAGUCGAACGAGCGAGAGAGAGCUUGCUUUCUCGAGCGAGUGGCGAACGGGUGAGUAACGCGUGAGGAACCUGCCUCAAAGAGGGGGACAACAGUUGGAAACGACUGCUAAUACCGCAUAAGCCCACGGGUCGGCAUCGACCAGAGGGAAAAGGAGCAAUCCGCUUUGAGAUGGCCUCGCGUCCGAUUAGCUAGUUGGUGAGGUAACGGCCCACCAAGGCGACGAUCGGUAGCCGGACUGAGAGGUUGAACGGCCACAUUGGGACUGAGACACGGCCCAGACUCCUACGGGAGGCAGCAGUGGGGAAUAUUGCACAAUGGGGGAAACCCUGAUGCAGCGACGCCGCGUGGAGGAAGAAGGUCUUCGGAUUGUAAACUCCUGUUGUUGGGGAAGAUAAUGACGGUACCCAACAAGGAAGUGACGGCUAACUACGUGCCAGCAGCCGCGGUAAAACGUAGGUCACAAGCGUUGUCCGGAAUUACUGGGUGUAAAGGGAGCGCAGGCGGGAAGACAAGUUGGAAGUGAAAUCUAUGGGCUCAACCCAUAAACUGCUUUCAAAACUGUUUUUCUUGAGUAGUGCAGAGGUAGGCGGAAUUCCCGGUGUAGCGGUGGAAUGCGUAGAUAUCGGGAGGAACACCAGUGGCGAAGGCGGCCUACUGGGCACCAACUGACGCUGAGGCUCGAAAGUGUGGGUAGCAAACAGGAUUAGAUACCCUGGUAGUCCACACCGUAAACGAUGAUUACUAGGUGUUGGAGGAUUGACCCCUUCAGUGCCGCAGUUAACACAAUAAGUAAUCCACCUGGGGAGUACGACCGCAAGGUUGAAACUCAAAGGAAUUGACGGGGGCCCGCACAAGCGGAGGAACAUGUGGUUUAAUUCGAUGAUACGCGAGGAACCUUACCCGGGCUUAAAUUGCAGAUGAAUUACGGUGAAAGCCGUAAGCCGCAAGGCAUCUGUGAAGGUGCUGCAUGGUUGUCGUCAGCUCGUGCCGUGAGGUGUCGGCUUAAGUGCCAUAACGAGCGCAACCCUUGUUGUCAGUUACUAACAGGUUCCGCUGAGGACUCUGACAAGACUGCCAUCGUAAGAUGUGAGGAAGGUGGGGAUGACGUCAAAUCAGCACGGCCCUUACGUCCGGGGCUACACACGUGUUACAAUGGGGGGUACAGAGGGCCGCUACCACGCGAGUGGAUGCCAAUCCCCAAAACCUCUCUCAGUUCGGACUGGAGUCUGCAACCCGACUCCACGAAGCUGGAUUCGCUAGUAAUCGCGCAUCAGCCACGGCGCGGUGAAUACGUUCCCGGGCCUUGCACACACCGCCCGUCA